rnacentral:rRNA from 1 species
UACGUAGGGCGCAAGCGUUGUCCGGAAUUACUGGGCGUAAAGCGCGUGUAGGCGGCCCUGCAAGUCGGGUGUGAAAUCCCACGGCUCAACCGUGGAAGUGCACUCGAAACUGCAGGGCUAGAGUCCUGGAGAGGAAGGUGGAAUGCUUGGUGUAGAGGUGAAAUUCGUAGAUAUCAAGCGGAACACCGGUGGCGAAGGCGGCCUUCUGGACAGUGACUGACGCUGAGACGCGAAAGCGUGGGGAGCAAACAGG